UGCUAAAGAGUAGGUGAUCAUAUGUGUUCUUCAGUUUUCGAUCAAACCUGCAAUAUUAGUUCACAGCAGUUAAGACCUGCAUGU
rnacentral:sRNA from 1 species